rnacentral:rRNA from 1 species
GACGAACGCUGGCGGCGUGCUUAACACAUGCAAGUCGAACGGAAAGGCCUUUUCGGAGGUACUCGAGUGGCGCACGGGUGAGUAACACGUGGGUGAUCUGCCCUGCACUCUGGGAUAAGCCUGGGAAACUGGGUCUAAUACCGGAUAGGACCGCACUUUAGUGUGUGUGGUGGAAAGUUUUUUCGGUGUAGGAUGAGCCCGCGGCCUAUCAGCUUGUUGGUGGGGUAAUGGCCUACCAAGGCGGCGACGGGUAGCCGGACUGAGAGGUUGGUCGGCCACAUUGGGACUGAGAUACGGCCCAGACUCCUACGGGAGGCAGCAGUGGGGAAUAUUGCACAAUGGGCGCAAGCCUGAUGCAGCGACGCCGCGUGGGGGAUGACGGCCUUAGGGUUGUAAACUCCUUUCGCCAGGGACGAAGCGUUUUGUGACGGUACCUGGAGAAGAAGCACCGGCUAACUACGUG